CGGAUUGAAUUUUUGUUUAAGAAAAUAUCUUGGUGAAUUUAUAAGUCAAAUUGAAUACUUGGUGUUAACACAAUAUCUCAAGAUGAAACAAAUGUUUAUAUUUUAAUUAUUAAGAAAAUUAACUAUCUUGAGAAAUAUUAAAGUAAAACAAGUAAAAAAAUAACACCAAGAUUUUUUACGUGGUUCAGCUAUUACCCUCUAUAAUAAUAGUCUAG
rnacentral:lncRNA from 1 species